AGAAGAAGAGAACCACCUCUUCAAUCAAAGCUCAGAACGGAAUUGAACUCUGUAGAAAGGAAAUCAAAAGGAAGUCUGUUCCUGGUGUUCAGAAGCAGUGCGCAGUAUUUCUCAUCUGAUGGCAGAAUCUAAAAUGGUCGGUGUGGGGUUUGUGAUCAAGGCCUCUAUCGGAGCAGUUGGAGCCCUGUUCAUGGCACCAGCGGCUCUGUCUGCCAUAGGCUUCACCUCAGCGGGCAUAACGGCUGGCUCCACCGCCGCUGGCAUGAUGUAAAAU